AUAUACUUACUAAUAAAAAAUACAUUUUCUCACAAGAUGAAGUGAGCUCGUAAAUGUACCUAAUUGCUAACAAUUACUAAAUGGAAUUCACAAUGUUCUGUGUUACAGACAAAUUAGCACAUCUUGGAGAAUACAUUUUCUUUUUUUCUUUUUCUUUUCUUUUUUUUUCUUUCUUCUUCUUUUUUUUUUCUUCUUUUUUUUUUUUUUUCCCCAAGAUUAAGAAGAGUUCAGUGACAAAGUUAUAGUUCAGCACUUUUCCAGUUAAAAAAUGAAACAUGAGCAGUACACACAUAUGAGACACUUUCAGUCUUGUGAGAAGCAGUUUUUGCAGGGUUUCCUGGACAGAAUCAAGAACCACUGGAAAUAUUCAUAUAAUUUACUGGAAACCAUGAAAACAGACUGUCUGGCAGGUUCUGUUUUGAAUAAAUUUUGGAUUGAAAGUGAACUUUUUGGGUAAGCAUGUGAACGGGCUUAUUAUCUCUAUCAAUAUUUCACAAUUAGACAGGUCUGUAAACAGCUUCAUUAAAUACAAAGAUGCAAAAAGUCAUGUCCUGGUCCUUAGAGAUACGAUCACAGCUAGUCUUUGUUCAGGCAAACUGUAGCACUGGAAUUAAUUUUCAGGGCAGCCAUUCAGUCAGUGUUUGAAAUAAUGAAGUAAAGAAAAUAAAUGUGCUUAGUAAAUCACCUCUAUCUGCAGGUGGUGACAUACUCUUUUGACAACCUGCUCCGUGGGCACUGUUACAUCCCACCAGGACACUUAAACAAAGUCACUGUGAGAAGGUGGGAAGAUAUAUCUUCAGGCUCUUGUAAUGCACAGGAGAUCCAUAUUUCUGUGUAUUCCUCUGGAAAUCUCUGCACACCUGAGGUCUUCUGA
rnacentral:lncRNA from 1 species